UACGAAGGGGGGCUAGCGUUGUUCGGAAUUACUGGGCGUAAAGCGCACGUAGGCGGCUUUGCAAGUCGGAUGUGAAAUCCCUCGGCUUAACCAAGGAAGUGCAUCCGAAACUGCAGAGCUUGAGUACUUAAGAGGAUCGCGGAAUUCCUGGUGUAGCGGUGAAAUGCGCAGGAUAAUCAGGAGGAACACCGGUGGCGAAGGGCAGCUUACUGGGCCGAUACUGACGCUGAGGAGCGAAAGCGUGGGGAG
rnacentral:rRNA from 1 species